CUGCAUGGCUGUCGUCAGCUCGUGCCGUGAGGUGUGGGUUAAGUCCCGCAACGAGCGCAACCCUAUUGCCAGUUGCUACCAGGUAAUGCUGGGCACUCUGGUGAGACUGCCCCGGUUAACGGGGAGGAAGGUGGGGACGACGUCAAGUCAUCAUGGCCCUUACGCCUAGGGCUACACACGUACUACAAUGGCGCAUACAAAGGGCAGCGAUACCGCGAGGUGGAGCCAAUCCCAAAAAGUGCGUCCCAGUCCGGAUUGCAGUCUGCAACUCGACUGCAUGAAGUUGGAAUCGCUAGUAAUUCGAGAUCAGCAUGCUCGGGUGAAUGCGUUCCCGGGCCUU
rnacentral:rRNA from 1 species